rnacentral:rRNA from 1 species
ACGGGAGGCAGCAGUGGGGAAUAUCGCACAAUGGGGGAAACCCUGAUGCAGCGACGCCGCGUGGGUGACGAAGUAUUUCGGUACGUAAAGCCCUAUCAGCAGGGAAGAUAAUGACGGUACCUGACUAAGAAGCUCCGGCUAAAUACGUGCCCGCAGCCGCGGUAAUACGUAUGGAGCAAGCGUUAUCCGGAUUUACUGGGUGUAAAGGGAGCGUAGACGGCAAAGCAGGUCUGAAGUGAAAUCCCGGGGCUCAACCCCGGAACUGCUUUGGAAACUGUUUAGCUAGAGUGCAGGAGAGGUAAGCGGAAUUCCUAGUGUAGCGGUGAAAUGCGUAGAUAUUAGGAGGAACACCAGUGGCGAAGGCGGCUUACUGGACUGUAACUGACGUUGAGGCUCGAAAGCGUGGGGAGCAAACAGGAUUAGAUACCCUGGUA